UACGGAGGGGCUAGCGUUGUUCGGAAUUACUGGGCGUAAAGCGCACGUAGGCGGCUUUGUAAGUUAGAGGUGAAAGCCCGGGGGCUCAACUCCGGAAUUGCCUUUAGACUGCAUCGCUAGAAUUGUGGAGAGGUAAGUGGAAUUCCGAGUGUAGAGGUGAAAUUCGUAGAUAUUCGGAAGAACACCAGUGGCGAAGGCGACUUACUGGACACAUAUUGACGCUGAGGUGCGAAAGCGUGGGGAGCAACAGGG
rnacentral:rRNA from 1 species